GAUGAAGAACGUAGUGAACUGCGAUAAGUAAUGUGAAUUGCAGAAUUCAGUGAAUCAUCGAGUCUUUGAACGCACAUUGCGCCCCCUGGUAUUCCGGGGGGCAUGCCUGUCCGAGCGUCAUUGCUGCCCUCAAGCACGGCUUGUGUGUUGGGCCCCGUCCUCCGAUCCCGGGGGACGGGCCCGAAAGGCAGCGGCGGCACCGCGUCCGGUCCUCGAGCGUAUGGGGCUUUGUCACCCGCUCUGUAGGCCCGGCCGGCGCUUGCCGAUCAACCCAAAUUUUUUAUCCAGGUUGACCUCGGAUCAGGUAGGGAUACCCGCUGAACUUAAGCAUAUCAAUAAGCGGAGGA
rnacentral:misc_RNA from 1 species